CACCAUCCAUAGAAACUUUCUUUUCUUUUCUUGAUUCCUGAACGUUUAAAUUCCGAGAAACCAAUCAUAUUCUUUAAAACAAGUUGUAUUCUUGGACUGAGUCCAGACGAUUUCAUUGGUUUCUUGGACUGAUUUUUGUGCUGCAUUUUUUUGCAAGAAAUGGUCAGAGCGCCAACAAGAUCAUCAAGAACAAUAGAGACAAGACUAUGGUGCGGUGUUUUGGCUUUGUGAGUGUUUUACUGCUGGCGGUUCUUGCGUUGUCAAUGGUGGUGUUGCCCUUGCUUUUGCCUCCUUUGCCUCCUCCUCCUCUAUUGCUUCUUUUAUUUCCGGUUGGUAUGGCUGCUCUCAUGUUCUUGGCUUUCUCACCAGCUGAGGCUGGAGGAAAUGCUGUUGCUCCUAGUGUAUAAGAGUUUGGGUUUAAUUGGG
rnacentral:misc_RNA from 1 species